UGAUAAUACAUUNAUAGAGAGUUUCAGAGUACGCUGGAAACUGCUCAUAGGUAAACAGGGUGGGCCCUCGAAAUCCUGGUGGCGAGAGGAUUCAGUUCUGGCGCGGAGAACGCGCGGCCGGAAGAACCGCGGAAGGGCGUCCCCGCACGGGGGCCGUCCGACCGCGCGCCUUUUUCCGCUCCAGACGCAUUUGACUCUCGUCCGAAGGACGCUGCAGCCGGUCUGGCAGUGCAAGCGCGACUGCCUGAAGGGCGGGAGACGGCAGUAGGCCGGCGGCGCGCCUCGUGCGAACCGUCGGUCGUUGGCCUUCCCGUCGGUGGCUGGUCGCCAGACCGUGGUGUCGCGAGUCCCUCCGGGGACUCCUCGUCUCCACCCUGCGUAGCGGGACUGAACGCGGCGAGGGUGCUGGGUCUUUCUCCGUCGCACUCUUGUGAGUGGGCGGAGGAACCCCGCGCCCCGUCGGUCGCGUCGAGCCCGUCGGGGACCGGAGGCUGGCAGCGAGUAGGUCGGUCACCCACCUGACCCGUCUUGAAACACGGACCAAGGAGUCUAACAUGUGCGCGAAGUCAAUGAGUCUUGAACAGGCCCAUGGGCGCAAUGAAAGCGAAGGGCGACGUCACGUCGUCUGUGUGGGGAUCCCGCCUCCUCGUGGGGUGGGCGCACCCACGACCCGUCCCGUGAGGCAUCGCCUCUGGGGCGGAGUCUGAGCGUACACGUUGGGGCCCGAAAGGUGGUGAACUAUGCCCGGACAGAACGAAGCCAGAGGAAACUCUGGUGGAGGUUCGCAGCGGUUCUGACGUGCAAAUCGAUCGUCAGAUCCGGGUAUAGGGCAAAAAAAAAUUAAUCNAA
rnacentral:rRNA from 1 species